GCGAGAGGGAUUCGCCAGACAGCCCCGCGCGCGCCGCACUGCGUCCCACGGCCCCACCACACAAACCCUAGCUUCCCACGCCCCGCAGCGCCGCACUCCCUCCUCCUCCGUCCUUCUUCGUCAGCCGCCGCCGCCGCUGUUCCGCCUCGCUCCUCUCUGUCCAACGACCACGCCACCACGAGGAAGCCGCUGCGCAAGUGGUCAAGGGACGGCCGCCAUCACGAGCCAGGGGACGCCCGUUGGCGAGCCUCUGGGCAGGAAGCCAACGGGGAGGAUGCAACAAGCCGCCAGGGUCUUCUCGCUAGAAGGUGGAGGAGUAGAGGAUCCAAAUCCGAGGCGUGCAACGCGGCGGUGAGCGUCUCCGGCAGCGGCGGUGACCUGCGGGCAAAGGGGGACGGCUGGGGUGCUCGAUUCGAUCCAGCGCCAUGAGCCUGUACUUGCUGGAGAGAGAGCAGAUGAGGGAAAGAUAGAACGAGAGGAGGGAGAAAUACAGAGGAAAGAGGAGAGGGAGCUGCAAUGGUAGAUGGGAGAUGAACACGGUCUGGGGCCGGCCAUUCGCAUCUCUCCUCCUCUCCUGCUCUUGACCACCAUCGUGCCCUUCCCCCCUUCGCUUCUAGGAGUAGCUAUUUUCCUCGCUCGUCCUGCUGUUUGGCUUGAGUGUUUCUCCUUCCCAAAUCUGGUUGUAUGAUCUGGCCCAUUAUUGCGUCUCCAUUCUGUUCGUUGCUUCGUCUCCGUGUUGCUCGUCAAGAAAAGGAUCUCGUUUUGGACACCACAGCCUCGCUCAUGGCAUGCUUAAGGGUGACCUUUGGGAUGUAUACGGUGAUUGUUCCAUGGGAGUGUGUGCUGAGCUUUGUGCUGACAAUCAUGCCCCGACGAGGGAAGACCAGAGAGAUUCAGUGGUGGUGAAUAUUAAUAUCAAAUAGAGAAGGGCACAUACAAUCGGUCUUUCCAGUGUGAACUGAUCACUAGCAUUAUCACCAUUUUCAUGCAGGUUCAUUGUUUUAUAUCUUGUUUCUCCAUCUCAUACAUCAUCAUGUAUGCUUUGAAACAAUGGCACCAUGUUGCUUUUCUUGUUGGUGCAGUGCCUCCUCUGCCAUGAUGAUGGGCGCCAUGUCCGACCUUACAAAACACCAAGUUCAUGCCAAAAAUGCUCUUUACGUCUAGAUGACAAAUCCAUUAUUCCCUACACUGUCAUGCUGGAUACUCUUUUCUUCAGGGAGAAGUUUAGGUGGUCUGGUAGGUUGCGUGGCAGUGGCUAGCGCGUGGACGAGGAGAGCAAGGGGACGAUGGCUCAUCCAAGAGCCAGUGACGAGGAGUGACGAGGAGGAGCACACAGGGAAGUUGGCUCCAUCCCUGCCUCCUCUAUUGCCAUUGAAGGCUUGAAGCACUGAAAAGGGGAGAGCAAGGGUACACAAUCCCCCGUUCCAGUCCAACCAGGUAAUCCAUGUUGAACAUUUGAAUUUUCCUGCUAAAUGCUUAUUGUUCAAGGAGCAAUGAUAGUAUUCUGCAAGCUGCUUCUGAAGAAUGAUCAUUAGCCUCAUUUAGCUGGAUGUUUUUUCUGGUGAACUAAUGGUGGAUAAUUGAGCUCUCAGUAAUGAUUUGUACCGGAUUAUUUCAAGGGCAACCACUCAGCCAGGGUGACUUACUGGAAUGAUUAUGUCGAUGAUAAGGAGCUAGGGUGAUCUUGCAUUGUACUCAAGAGUAGUAGUUCUAAACAUGUUAGUAAAACAAAAGUAGGUAUGUUUACCCUGGAAUUUAACUCAACCUUAUUCUUUAUUAUGUAGCCACCAUGUGGACAAGCUGGCACCUCCUGGUUACAUUUUGUUCACUUCAUGUGGCAUUAUGUAUGAAGCUCUUUGACAUUGAGGAUCUCUUUAUUUGUUUUUUCCUAACCCUGUCGUGGGAUUCUUAGUAGCCUUUCCUGUAUAUGAACAAAUUGCAAGAGAUGCAUGCAAUUCACGGCCUGUGAAAGGUUGUUCGUAUGACACAUCCAUCUCACAGAUCCACCUCCUCUAUAUCUACAGGUACCACUUCCUACAUAAUGGAGUGUCUGAUCUCGCUACAUCCAAAAAAGGAGCUUGCAUGAUGCGGUGGUUUUCUAACUGCUUUCCCCUUUGUUUUGAUUGUGAUGUGAAAUGUGUCUAUUGAGCAUGAACUAUAGAUGGAGAUUUUAACAGUAUGGGCCAAUCAACGGACACAACAUUCACAUAACUAUAGGAGGAACAAAAUAAUGCAUCUCUGUAGAGUAUGGUCAUAAUCCUGAUGUUGAAAAUCCAACUGAGACAGCUAUACAUGUUCUUCCUUUUCUUGGUAGUAAUAUACUCCCCCGUACCUAAAUAUAAGUCUUUCUAGAGAUUUCACAACGGAAUACAUACGGAGCAAAAUGAUUGAAUCCACACUCUAAAGUACGUCUAUAUACAUUCGUAUGUAGUCCGCAUUGAAAUCUCUAAAAAGACUUAUAUUUAGAAAUGGAGGGAGUAGAAGAUGGCACGGACAGAGAUUUAUCUGUACCAUCCAGACUUAGGUAUGUCCAAUUUUCAGAGUAGUCUAGGAAGUACACUGCCUAGAACAACAUUCAGUGCACUUGCGUAAUACUCCCUUCGUUUCUAAAUAUAAACCUUUUUAGAUAUUCCAACAUGGACUACAUACAAAGCAAAAUGAAUGAAUCUACAUUCUAAAAUAUGUCUAAAUACAUUUGUAAGUAGUCCGUAUUGAAAUCUCUAAAGUGGCUUAUAUUUAGGAACAGAGGGAGUAUAAUCAUAAAUCACAAUCACAUACUGUGCUCAUUGUCCAAUGUGUUGUAGGACCCAGUUAGGAUAUCAUGUUUGUGGGGCAAUCUGUUGCGGUUGCAAUGUUUAGUUCCUAAGUUAACUAUGAUUGUGUUCUGCUUAUAAAUUAAUGAAGUUUACACAUGUUCAGUUGGCAUUCAUGCUUUAUUUCUUUUAGCAGUUUACUGAUCAUUUUCAGACAAUAAAUAUAAAAACUCUGCAACUCAUGUUUCCUUCUGAAACAUUAUUUUGGAUAAAGCAACAAGAGUGUGUUACUGCCUGUAUGUUUAUUGGCUGUACUUUUGAUCUGCUUUUGUUACAAGACAUUUCAUCAAUUCUUGUGUAGACAUGCUUUUAUUGGUUUGCUUCUAAAUGCAUCUUUAUCUGCACUUGUAGGCUCUGCGGGAUUUGAUGAUGUAUGCGAAUGUCUGAAUAAGUCCUGAAUUUCUUCCAACAAAUAGACACACUAAUUAGAUUCAGAAACCUAAAGAGAUUGAGUUCCUGAUGCCGCGAUGGGUGUGCAAACGAGCUAGUUUACAUUUGUCCCCAUUACUGCCACGGCGAAAUAACACGUCGCACUACGGCUAUUUAAGCCACACAUCAUCUUCUUCCUCCUCUCACAUCCCUCAUCUAUCUCCCAUCCUUUGCCAUUUGCCCUUCUUGUUCUUUGACCCCUUCUCCUUCUUCACACCCCUAAGCCAUGCAGUACACUGGACCAACCUACCGCUUCCCACCCACCGCGUCGGAGAGGCUCUAUACUGCCGGCGUGUAUGUUGAGCGUACACUACGUGUGUGGGCGAUAUCAAGGUGGAGGACCGCAAGGGGCUUCGCCGAGUUCUUCCUCACGUCCGGCUACCGCCACCUCCCACGUGGAUCUCCAAGGAUGUUCCGCGUCGAGGAGGUCAUCCAAAACGGGGUGGUGGUUGCUAUCUGUGCCCGCUUCACCAACCCCUUCGAUGCCUUCUACCUUCUCGGGCGCGUGUUUUGGUGUGGUUGCAAGUUCAUCGCUUUCAUCACCCACAACAUCCUCACAGAGUACAGCAACAUCUUCCCCACCGCGUCGCACACGCACACUCUGCCGUACCACAUUGACAACACGCCGAAGGAGCAGUGAAGGGCACCCGGAGGAGCGAGGUGGAGAAGCCGAUGUCUAGGGUUUAGAACCCUCUAUCUUUUUUUCUUUUUUUGAAUCUAUGUUAUGUUAUUAAGUUGUAAUUGAACUAUAUGAUCGUGCUCUGGGCUUGUUGGCCUAUGUUAUGUUAUUAAGUUUUCUAUCUA